UACGAAGGGGCUAGCGUUGUUCGGAAUUACUGGGCGUAAAGGCUCGUAGGCGGCCAACUAAGUCGGAUGUGAAAUCCCCAGGCUUAACCUGGGAACUGCAUCCGAUACUGGAUGGCUUGAAUCCGGGAGAGGAUGCGGAAUUCCAGGUGUAGCGGUGAAAUGCGUAGAUAUCUGGAGGAACACCGGUGGCGAAGGCGGCAUCCUGGACCGGCAUUGACGCUGAGGAGCGAAAGCCAGGGGAG
rnacentral:rRNA from 1 species